GGGACCGACUUGAUGCAGGUAUCUUUCGACGUUCUGCUUAAGCUGGACCAGUGUCUUGGGCUUGCCUGCGUACACAGUGUCCUUGGCAGCCCCCCACAGCCAAAAGUCUAGCGGGUUGAGAUCAGGGCUGUGGGGAGCCCACUCAUGGGCGGUGCCGAGAGACAUGAGGCGAGCGUUGAACAGCUCCUUAAGGCAUUCGAUACUCUCACGCGCAGUGUGAGGCGGAGCUCCGUCUUGCAUGAACCAUGCCUGUUGCAGUUGGUUAUCGGUGAGCAUAUCGGUCAGAUCCGCGUAGAAUUCCCGGAUGACCUCGCGGUAGCGCUCGCCAUUGAUGGUGACGGUCCGGCCAUCUUCUUCGAACCAGUAGGGACCGAGGAGGCCGUGAGUGGCGUUGUAGGCCACAAAGGCAGUGACCUUCGGGCCCUUCAGCUGCUUCUCCGUUACUUCUUCCGGUGCAAGUCCGAGCUGUUGAGAGCGUCGACGGAGCGACUUCUUGGGACUGGCAAUGACGGAAUUUCGCACGGCCGCGAUGGUCUCUGGGGACUUUGAAACCGAUGCUGGCCUGCCGCUGCUGCCCCUGUGAGUAUUCAGGACUGAACCUGUUGUCUCAAAAUGGUUAACAAACCUUGCAAUGAGUUUGUUGCAGGGCAGAUCUCGAGUUUCCAUGUCACACUCGCGUCGAAGUCGGCGGCGGACGGUGACGUACGAUUUCGUCUCGAACCAUAAUCGGA